UUCGGCUUAUAUCGCAAUAGCACUUCGUCUGUAGACUGAUUUGUUGCCCUGACUAUACGAACCCACGUGCAAUACAUCUGCCCACACCUCGGAAGCAUAAAAUAUUACGUAGCUCAGAGUGCUCGGCAAUCUUUACCUAUGUUUUUUUUUGGUUCUCUGGUAUUUAACAUAAUUCUCGUAGAUGUCUUGAAUGUGUUUGGGAUGGGAUCACAAAAUGUUUAACAAAUUAAUAAAAUCUGUAUUUAAAUAGAAGCUUCGGGGUUCUCCAGAUAUUGUUUUCACUGAAAUCGGUUUGACCAAAUGUGUAGCUUCAAUUUUCACGGGAAAACAAAUUGCUUCGAUGCCAGGCCUACAGAUAAUUGCAAAGCUUUGAUUCAGUUCAAUAAAAUUGCAUUCUAAGACCUUUUCCGCAGAGACAAGCUCUAAUACAAAGCCGUCUAAAAGCAGAUAGAUCAUUUGGAUUCGAUAGAAACACCAAUUGGUGAAGCUUCCAUCGCUUGGGGAAAGCGCUUUUCUUUAUAAAGUUGUCUUCACACCCUGCGAUGACGGGGACCGUUUUCGAACGAUUUUGAAGCUGGCUUCAAAUUGUGAGGCUUACAUAUAUACCCAAUCGGAAAAAUGAGAAGCGCUUUUAAAUAAACGCUGGCAGACCUUCCUUUUGCAAGGUGUAUUAGAAGAUCUGCCAAUAGCGCUGCCAUUCGAAUUCGGGCGAGAAGUUGUAUUUGAUAAGCAAACAAAGUCAAAUAAAAGCGAAAAUUGCAGUCAACGUUUCUAUGAGGGUCUGGUGGAAAAUAUAAACUGUGUCUUAUUUAUUUCAAGUGAACGUGCCUUUUCUGAGGGAAGCUGAAUCAGAUACUCUGGCUAUUUGAUACAAAAAUAAAUGGAAUCAAGAAACGCGAAUAGAAGACCACUCGCUUCAAAAGAUUGGAAAUAACUCUGCCAAGAAGGCUUUAUUUGUCUAAUUUUGCCUACUGGGUAGUUAUGGUAGUUAUGCUUACAUAAAUAUACUAGUUAACCCCUUGAGUUUAAACAAGAGAGCGUGGCGUUUAUAGUAACCUCCAAUAGAUGUAGUAAAUUCAGAGAACCAUAGUCUUGGACCACUUACGAACAGACAGCUAAACGCGGUGUCCUGUUGUAAACU